rnacentral:rRNA from 1 species
UACGAAGUGGGCUAGCGUUGUUCGGAAUUACUGGGCGUAAAGCGCACGUAGGCGGAUAUUUAAGUCGGGGGUGAAAUCCCGGGGCUCAACCCCGGAACUGCCUUCGAUACUGGGUAUCUUGAGUUCGGAAGAGGUGAGUGGAAUUGCGAGUGUAGAGGUGAAAUUCGUAGAUAUUCGCAGGAACACCAGUGGCGAAGGCGGCUCACUGGUCCGAUACUGACGCUGAGGUGCGAAAGCGUGGGGAGCAAACAGG